UCGGAAGGCAAGUGGGCAGUUGAAAAUUUUCAUAUAUGACAACUCCAACAGUAUAAUCACUCGCAGCCAUUAAGGAUUAAGCCAAUCUCUGUUUUAAUGCUAAAUAAUAGUACUUCACUUCAAUCUUUGCAACUGAAUUUCAGAUUUCUGCUUUAAUAACAAGAUUACAGCUUACUGCUCCCUAAAUGAACCUACCAGGAAACAUUUCUCUGAGCCAUGUCAGUCCAGAGAAAAAGAAUUGGAGGACCAACUUCGGAUCGCUCUAGCCCAUUUUGCCCAUUUUGCCCAUGUUGAUCCUCAUUAAUGUUCCCAACUUCCCAUCUCUUCAUCAAACCUGACUUCUUAAUCCCUGUUCCGUUGUCCUCAACUAUCAACACGCCCUCUUUUAGUACCAGCUGAGCCCAGAAUAAGCCUAUAUCGUUUCUUCUCAACAAAUCAGAAAUAUGUCACAAGCGAAACCUUUAUUUCUGUUGAUAAUUAUUCAAUUUUCCUAAUCAUCAUCAACAUCAUCCUCCUUCCCAAAAUUCAAGAAUCCAUGCGACAAUACAUGAAAUUCAAGAAUAACAUUGAUAAGAGCAGCAAAGCAACUAUAAUGCAUAUUACAAGGUAAGAGACUGCACGUAGCUGCAAUAUUAUAUUGAGGUACAUAUCUAUCAUUGCCUAAUUCCUUUCUAUAUUCGAUGAGAGGACAUUUCUAUGCACCAUGCCAGAUGGGGCAAAUUUCAGAUAUAUAAGACUAACACACACUUUCAGCUUUUAAUUAAUUCAGACAAGAUUUUGUAACUGCAUUUGGUUCUAAAUGCUACGGCCUGCCAGACCAAUCAAUCUUGCAAGCAUAAAUAAUUAGUCUUUGAGCAUCCAAAACCUUCAAAACCAUCUGUAUAGCUUUCAUUCAACUGAAAUGUUAUUUCACAGACGAGAAACACCUGAAGGAAAAUUUCUCUCGGUGACCAAGUUCUGUGGGUACAUCUAAGACAAAGCUAAUGUGAAUCACAUGCAAACACAACAUAAGAGGAAACCAAGAAGCCUAUUCUAUCAAUUUCUCCUUCACCUAGCAGGCCCAUAUUGUCUCAUUGCCUCACACCCCAAAAUAGUAAAAUUCAUCAGCAACCCAACUGGAAUAUCAAAAGUUAGAUGCAAAAAUGGAUGUGUACAGAAAGCAAAUUUGAAAUUCUCACCAGAAGAGUCAUGCAUUUGGGCUUUGGCUCUUCUGCUUAGCUCGUUUUGCAAAAUAGUUGAAGGCCAUCCUGGAAAAAUGAACGAUGGUGAAAAACAUUUGCAAGAUUGAUCGACCUUUUACGAUGCUUUCCCUCAUGCCCCUUGCACUCCUAGCCAAGGCUGGCCCUCCUGUCUCAGUUUUCGGACUGGUUACCCUCUGCAAUGAAGCUAAACAAGUAAAAAUAGGUAAAAUUCAAUGCAUGAAACCCUUUUUAGAAAUGACAUUAAUGAGUCAAAAGCAAAAGAAGAGUAUAUAACCUGGUGGCGCCAUGUUUGUCAAACUGCGAAGUCUCUCCUCAGCUAAGCGAACAGCUCUAGUGGAGCUUCUAAAGCCUUGAGUUAUCUCUUGUCUAUGCACACGCAUGAUAUAAAUGACAAAGAAAUCACUUAAUCUAAGAAAGAAUCUAAGGUUGAAAUGAAAAAAUACAAACCCUAGAUCACUUAGCUCCGUUGUUAGGUCACUAAUCUCCAUGCCCGAUAAACGAAUGGCAGUCAUUGUAUCAGGAAGCCCUUCCCUAGUGGCAUCCAUCAGCUUCUCAAGGGAUUCCGCUGCUCUCUUGAAAUGGUACCCACCAAACAUGGAAAUGAUAACGAAAAAUUCCCAAGUGUAAAGCAAAUAGUACCAGAGAAAAGGAAUCGCAUACAAGAAGAGUUGGAAUUGCAGAGAAAAAAAAGCCAAGUUGCUGAGACUGCCACCUACAAAACAAUCAGAAUUUCAUCUCAAAUUAGCCACAACAAUAUCUUUCAGCAACAGAAAAAUUCAAUUUUUUCACUAGGAGAAAUUAUAACGAGCAAGCAAUGACAUUGAGCAUGAGGAUAUGGCGUUGGGUGAAAUUCCAUUGAGAGAGCUGAAGUGUAGAAUGAGGAAAUGGUGAAGAGCCGAGGGACGCAAUGUAUUCAGAAGAAAUUAAGGGUUCAGAUUCUGGUGGUGGUGGAGAAUCGCAGUGUGAAAUAACAGCGAGCGACGAGUGGCGUCGAAUUGGAAGGCGGAGAUCGUAGAGGCAGCGACGCUAGACAUAGUGGAGAGAGAAAGCGCAGGAGGUGGAAUUGGGAAAAGAGGAUUCCAAUUUCAGAGAGCCAAACAUUUUGGUGUUGAAAUCUCCGCCCUUGCCCACCAUUACAAAUGCUUUGGGGAGUGGAGACGGCUGGAC
rnacentral:misc_RNA from 1 species